rnacentral:rRNA from 1 species
UCAGCGACUUAUAUUCUGUAGCAAGGUUAACCGAAUAGGGGAGCCGGAGGGAAACCGAGUCUUAAUUGGGCGUUAAGUUGCAGGGUAUAGACCCGAAACCCGGUGAUCUAGCCAUGGGCAGGUUGAAGGUUGGGUAACACUAACUGGAGGACCGAACCGACUAAUGUUGAAAAAUUAGCGGAUGACCUGUGGCUGGGGGUGAAAGGCCAAUCAAACCGGGAGAUAGCUGGUUCUCCCCGAAAGCUAUUUAGGUAGCGCCUCGUGAAUUCAUCUCCGGGGGUAGAGCACUGUUUCGGCUAGGGGGCCAUCCCGGCUUACCAACCCGAUGCAAACUGCGAAUACCGGAGAAUGUUAUCACGGGAGACACACGGCGGGUGCUAACGUCCGUCGUGAAGAGGGAAACAACCCAGACCGCCAGCUAAGGUCCCAAAGUCAUGGUUAAGUGGGAAACGAUGUGGGAAGGCCCAGACAGCCAGGAUGUUGGCUUAGAAGCAGCCAUCAUUUAAAGAAAGCGUAAUAGCUCACUGGUCGAGUCGGCCUGCGCGGAAGAUGUAACGGGGCUAAACCAUGCACCGAAGCUGCGGCAGCGACGCUGAUGCGUUGUUGGGUAGGGGAGCGUUCUGUAAGCCUGCGAAGGUGGCCUGUGAGGGUUGCUGGAGGUAUCAGAAGUGCGAAUGCUGACAUAAGUAACGAUAAAGCGGGUGAAAAGCCCGCUCGCCGGAAGACCAAGGGUUCCUGUCCAACGUUAAUCGGGGCAGGGUGAGUCGACCCCUAAGGCGAGGCCGAAAGGCGUAGUCGAUGGGAAACGGGUUAAUAUUCCCGUACUUGGUGUUACUGCGAAGGGGGGACGGAGAAGGCUAUGUUGGCCGGGCGACGGUU